GUUAGGCUUUUUAAUCCGGCCCGCCGAACUUGUCCAAAUCGCAGUUUUGUUUACUUCCGGUGUGCGUUGGCGCGGAAAGAACUCGUCACACGAAACCCUUCACCGUGAUUUGUCAAUUCGUUUGUCUGUCAACAUUUUGCGAAAAAAACAACCAAUGAACACUCAGUAAAUCACAAAGGACCCGCCCACCACACAGGUGAGGCUCAUUUAGAAACAGCCGCAGUGAUUUUGGCGAGCAGCGCGGAGCCUGGAGGAGCUGCGGAGCCACGAGGAGGAACACGCAGCCAGAAGAGGUCCACUUGGACCGGAGAGGAUUCACCAGCGCCUGCAGCUCCACCUGCCCGGCCAGCAGAGAGGUCUCGUGACACGAUGACAUGAUGUUAUUAUAGUGAAGCCAUAUUAUAAAUAGUCAAUAGUUGUGUUCUGUUUAUUUCUCAACAUGUAUAUAAUGUAGAUUUUUUUAUUUUUAAUGUACAAUACAUAUUUAUAUAUAAAAAAUAAAAUAAAACGUAAUGGUCAUUUUUUGUUUGCACACACCCCAUGAAACUUUAUCUGCAAUAUGAAGUAAUUUCUCAGUCCCAUCUUUAUCAUUUUGGUGAAUGUGUGACAGACCACAUCAUUUCUACUCAAAAAACGAUAAUCCAAAAUUUGGUUUUCCACAUUUAUUUACAUGUAUCUAGCAUUAUAUUCAGAUAUUUCACUGCUCUUGUGAACCUAUGACCUUUGGUAAACCAAUUUCAAACACCAAAACAGUUCGUCCACGAGUAAAGGUGUGUUUUCAGAAGAGAUAUGAAGAAUUUUUAAAAAUCGAACUUCAAUUGUCAGCUUUAGGGUCAUAUUUUCUCGAGUAAAGCGCUGUCAGUCUGUUUGUGACGGGUUCAUACACAUGCUGACCAGAUGACGCCGCACAUCGCCCUCAAUUUAAAGACCCCUUUCUAGUUUCUGCUGCAGGCAGGAUAUUUAAUACUCUCAGGACAAUCCGUCCAUUAUUUUGCGGGGUUUAAAACAAUUAGAAAUUAUUGAGCUUGAUUAUUUCGUUGGGUAAUAAUUUGUUUUUAAUGUUGAAAGUGCUUCCAUUGAUCGCUUUCCAGUAAAUGUUGAUUUCUUUAACUUUGCACCUUCAAUUGAAAUGUAUAAAAAACAGACGCAAUCUCCAGGUUUGAUAAAUUACAUUGCGUGUCCAAAUGCUCCUGGCCCGGCCCCUCUGUCAAAUGUUAGAACCGAUUGUGACCCGCAAGUCAAAAAGUUUGCCCACCCCUGGUCUAGGGGUUAAAGAUGUUAGUACAUGUGAAGGCGACAGGAGGGUUUUAAAUAUCUAAAACACAACUGGACCAGAACACUUGGAGCCGCUACACAUAUUUAUUUCCAUCAGGUGUUCACAUUGACAUUAAAACCUCCCACUAACAGAACAUUCAACAACAUUCAGCAGGGUUCACUCUGUUAGGCGCGGGGGCGGAGCCUGAACUCAGGAAACAUCGAACAUCAGAUAUUUAGUUUGGGAUAAACACGUGGAAAUAUAGGAAUGUCACGUCUUUUGGUCAAAAUGCAUCAAGUCGUCAAACUUGUCGUGAAACUGGCAAUGAAUAGAAGCUUUGGUUUGUGAACAGUUGAGUGUUUUUGGUCUAGAUGAGCGAGUGGUUGUUGUUGUAAUACUUGUUUUGGCCACAAGAGGCUGACAUGCACCACGCAGGGUUUACUAGAUUGAAAGUAAUGCAUUGAAAAGCUUAAAUUCUGAAUAUAAAUGAUUGUUAAACAUCUUAACACCGAAGGUUUCUCCCCUUUGUAUCCGUGUUAAAGGGUUCCUCCUGAUCCGAUGUGAGGUCAAAGGUCAGGGAUGUGGUAGGAGUAACGAUUCUAAAGGCCUCUGAGGAUCAUUUGUGAUUUUAGGCUCUACAAAAUAAACUGAGUUGAAUCGUU